GACGAACGCUGGCGGCGUGCUUAACACAUGCAAGUCGAACGGGCCCGCCCCUGUUUUUGGGGGUGGGUUGAGUGGCGAACGGGUGAGUAUCACGUGAGUAACCUGCCCCCUGCUCCUGGAUAACUGCUUGAAAGGGCGGCUAAUACGGGGUGUGCCGGCUGGUCCGCAUGGGCCUGGUCGGGAUAGUUUCAUCUUCGGGUGUUUCGGUGGGGGAUGGGCUCGCGGCCUAUCAGCUUGUUGGUGGGGUGAUGGCCCACCAAGGCGGUGACGGGUAGCCGGCCUGAGAGGGUGGGCGGCCACACUGGGACUGAGACACGGCCCAGACUCCUGCGGGAGGCAGCAGUGGGGGGUAUUGCACAAUGGGCGGAAGCCUGAUGCAGCGACGGCGCGUGAGGGAUGGAGGCCUUCGGGUUGUGAACCUCUUUCUCCGGGGGUGAAGGCCCUGUCCGUUGCGGCGGGGUUGACGGUAGCCGGGGAUGAAGCGCCGGCUAACUACGUG
rnacentral:rRNA from 1 species